CAACCCUCAAGCCCUCGUUGCUUGGUGUUGGGCACCUGCGGGCCUCGCCCGCAGGCCCCGAAAGUCAGUGGCGGGCGCGCCGCGACCCCGAGCGUAGUAGUUUACUGUUCUCGCUUAGGGCGUCCGGUGCUGUCUCUAGCCGUAAAACAGCUCUUCGGAGACCAUACAA
rnacentral:misc_RNA from 1 species